rnacentral:misc_RNA from 1 species
AGCAGCCGCGGUAAUUCCAGCUCCAAUAGCGUAUAUUAAAGUUGUUGCAGUUAAAAAGCUCGUAGUUGAAUUUCGGGGUUAGCAGGUCGGUCGUGCCAUCGGUAUGAACUGGUCUCGCUGAUCCCUCCCUCUUGACGAACUGUGAUGCCAUUAAUUUGGUGUCGCAGGGAAUCAGGACUGUUACUUUGAAAAAUUAGAGUGUUUAAAGCAGGCUCACGCUUGAAUACAUUAGCAUGGAAUAAUGAAAUAGGACGUUUGAUCCUAUUUUGUUGGUUUCUAGGAUUGACGUAAUGAUUAAUAGGGAUAGUUGGGGGCAUUAGUAUUCAAUUGUCAGAGGUGAAAUUCUUGGAUUUAUUGAAGACUAACUACUGCGAAAGCAUUUGCCAAGGAUGUUUUCAUUAAUCAAGAACGAAAGUUAGGGGAUCGAAGACGAUCAGAUACCGUCGUAGUCUUAACCAUAAACUAUGCCGACUAGGGAUCGGAUGAUGUUAAUUUUUAAUGUACUCAUUC